GUAGGGAAUAUUGGGCAAUGGAUGCAAGUCUGACCCAGCCAUCCCGCGUGCCGGAAGAAGGCCCUCAGGGUUGUAAACGGCUUUUGACGGUGAAGGAUCGACAGGAUGCGUCCUGUUUUGACGGUAGCCGUUGAAUAAGCACCGGCUAACUCCGUGCCAGCAGCCGCGGUAAUACGGAGGGUGCGAGCGUUGUCCGGAUUUAUUGGGUGUAAAGGGUGCGUAGGCUGGUAGGUCAGUCAGCGGUGAAAAGCUGUCGCUUAACGAUAGUCUUGCCGCAGAUACUUCCUUUCUUGGAUGAGGAGGAGGCCACUGGAACGGAUGGUGUAGCGGUGAAAUGCAUAGAUAUCAUCCAGAACACCGAUUGCGAAGGCAGGUGGCUGUACCUUAAUCGACGCUGAUGCACGAAAGCAUGGGGAGCAAACAGGAUUAGAAACCCCUGUAGUCC
rnacentral:rRNA from 1 species